UUCCUACGGGUGGCUGCAGUGGGGAAUAUUGGGCAAUGGGGGGAACCCUGACCCAGCAACGCCGCGUGAGGGAAGAAGGUUUUCGGAUUGUAAACCUCUGUUCUUGGAGAAGAGUGUAAGACGGUAUCCAAGGAGGAAGCCCCGGCUAACUACGUGCCAGCAGCCGCGGUAAUACGUAGGGGGCGAGCGUUGUCCGGAAUGAUUGGGCGUAAAGGGCGCGCAGGCGGCCCGACAAGUCAGUAGUGGAAGUCCAUUUUUCAAGGGUGGAAGUGCUAUUGAAACUGUAGGGCUUGAGUGCGGGAGAGGUUAUCGGAAUUCCCGGUGUAGCGGUGAAAUGCGUAGAGAUCGGGAGGAACACCAGUGGCGAAGGCGGGUAACUGGACCGCAACUGACGCUGAGGCGCGAAAGUGUGGGGAGCAAACAGGAUUAGAUACCCGGGUAGUCUC
rnacentral:rRNA from 2 species